rnacentral:rRNA from 1 species
UACGUAGGGUGCAAGCGUUGUCCGGAAUUAUUGGGCGUAAAGAGCUCGUAGGCGGUUUGUCGCGUCUGCUGUGAAAACCCGAGGCUCAACCUCGGGCCUGCAGUGGGUACGGGCAGACUAGAGUGCGGUAGAGGAGAUUGGAAUUCCUGGUGUAGCGGUGGAAUGCGCAGAUAUCAGGAGGAACACCAAUGGCGAAGGCAGAUCUCUGGGCCGUAACUGACGCUGAGGAGCGAAAGCAUGGGGAGCGAACAGG